rnacentral:rRNA from 1 species
GAUGAACGCUAGUGGCAGGCUUAACACAUGCAAGUCGAGGGGCAGCAUAAUGAAGUAGCAGUACUGAAUUGAUGGCGACCGGCGCACGGGUGCGUAACGCGUAUGCAACCUACCCAUAACAGGGGGAUAACACUGAGAAAUUGGUACUAAUACCCCGUAACAUCAUUUGAGGCAUCUCAGAUGGUUGAAAGUUCCGGCGGUUAUGGAUGGGCAUGCGUUGUAUUAGCUAGUUGGUGAGGUAAUGGCUCACCAAGGCGACGAUACAUAGGGGGACUGAUAGGUUAACCCCCCACAUUGGUACUGAGACACGGACCAAACUCCUACGGGAGGCAGCAGUGAGGAAUAUUGGUCAAUGGACGCAAGUCUGAACCAGCCAUGCCGCGUGCAGGAUGACGGCUCUAUGAGUUGUAAACUGCUUUUGUAUGAGGGUAAAAUUGGGUACGUGUACCCAACUGAAAGUAUCAUACGAAUAAGGAUCGGCUAACCCCGUGCCAGCCGCCGCGGUAACAC